AAUCACAGCUUGUUUUUCUCCACUGGCUGCAGACUUAAAGGUGCAGUGUCUUCUUUCUCUCCCCAGGGCCGGGUGCCUCGCGGUGCUUCUGCCGGCCCCUGAGCUGCGCUGGAGGGGGCUUCACCCCGAGGGUGCCAGGGCUUCCGGUUUGGGGAGCCCCCCCCAAUCCGUCACCAUCCCGGGGACGUGUCGUUUUAGCUGGAAACCAGGGAAGGACCUGGAAAUUCGAUCACCCAAUGAGCAGGCAGAGCCGGGCUGGCGAGGUCUGUCAGAGACCUCUCUGGGGACCAGCGAGCCGCUGAUGCCCAGGAUGCCUGUGAGCGAUCUUGAGCCGAGGGGUUAAGAUGAAAUUGACUUCUAGGAGAUCUGUGUGGCCAAAAUCAGGCUUCCAAGACUGAUGCUUUUUAUUCUCACCAGCCCCUUGGCUAUUUGUUUGAGGCCAACGUAUGUGGGAAGAAAAAAAUCAACACAGCUGCAAACUUCCUGACUUCAGAGGCCAGGCUGGAGCCCAAGAAGGCUUUGAGGACCCGGGGCUGUGCUCCUCGUGUGAGCCAAGUGUAGUCCCUGGCGGUGACGCCAGCAGCCCGGCUCUGCCCGCGUUCCGGCGGCGGGGGGGGGGGGGGGGGGGGGGGGGGGGCGGGGUGCGGACCAGCUGAGCAGGACCAGUGCAGCUCCACGGCAGGAGGCCAGGUUGCCGUCUCUGGUCAGACCCCAGCAGCAGCGCCCCGUAUCGCCAGGGCUCGCGAACCACCUCGGCUGGGGUGUGCUGGCCCGCUCUGCUCAUGUGCUUCGGGUCUUUAUUCCGCUUUGAAUGGGUUUCUUGAAAAACAAACUCUUUGACGUAAAAAAAAAAAAACAACAAAAAACAAAAACAGAACCAGUUUAUGGUCUUUAGAAUGUUGAUUUGAAAUAAAGCAAAUAUUGGUGACAUGCUCUGCAGAUAGUUACAUAAAGCUGUGAAAGAGCCACAAAUAAUUUACUCUAACUGCAGCAUUAAUUAUUGUCCUGUACAAAGUAGCCACCGUUAGGAGUGGUAUCAAUUCCCCAGGAGAUAAGCAUUAUAAAAAUGAUUAAAAGAAUUUCAUAUGAUUUUUGUCAUUAAAAUAAAAUCUCAAUAAACCAGCA
rnacentral:lncRNA from 1 species